CAGGUGGUCAGGUAGAGAAUACCAAGGCGCUUGAGAGAACUCGGGUGAAGGAACUAGGCAAAAUGGUGCCGUAACUUCGGGAGAAGGCACGCUGAUAUGUAGGUGAAGCGACUUGCUCGUGGAGCUGAAAUCAGUCGAAGAUACCAGCUGGCUGCAACUGUUUAUUAAAAACACAGCACUGUGCAAACACGAAAGUGGACGUAUACGGUGUGACGCCUGCCCGGUGCCGGAAGGUUAAUUGAUGGGGUUAGCGGUAACGCGAAGCUCUUGAUCGAAGCCCCGGUAAACGGCGGCCGUAACUAUAACGGUCCUAAGGUAGCGAAAUUCCUUGUCGGGUAAGUUCCGACCUGCACGAAUGGCGUAAUGAUGGCCAGGCUGUCUCCACCCGAGACUCAGUGAAAUUGAACUCGCUGUGAAGAUGCAGUGUACCCGCGGCAAGACGGAAAGACCCCGUGAACCUUUACUAUAGCUUGACACUGAACAUUGAGCCUUGAUGUGUAGGAUAGGUGGGAGGCUUUGAAGUGUGGACGCCAGUCUGCAUGGAGCCGACCUUGAAAUACCACCCUUUAAUGUUUGAUGUUCUAACGUGGGCCCCUAAUCGGGGUUGCGGACAGUGUCUGGUGGGUAGUUUGACUGGGGCGGUCUCCUCCUAAAGAGUAACGGAGGAGCACGAAGGUUGGCUAAUCCUGGUCGGACAUCAGGAGGUUAGUGCAAUGGCAUAAGCCAGCUUGACUGCGAGCGUGACGGCGCGAGCAGGUGCGAAAGCAGGUCAUAGUGAUCCGGUGGUUCUGAAUGGAAGGGCCAUCGCUCAACGGAUAAAAGGUACUCCGGGGAUAACAGGCUGAUACCGCCCAAGAGUUCAUAUCGACGGCGGUGUUUGGCACCUCGAUGUCGGCUCAUCACAUCCUGGGGCUGAAGUAGGUCCCAAGGGUAUGGCUGUUCGCCAUUUAAAGUGGUACGCGAGCUGGGUUUAGAACGUCGUGAGACAGUUCGGUCCCUAUCUGCCGUGGGCGCUGGAGAACUGAGGGGGGCUGCUCCUAGUACGAGAGGACCGGAGUGGACGCAUCACUGGUGUUCGGGUUGUCAUGCCAAUGGCACUGCCCGGUAGCUAAAUGCGGAAGAGAUAAGUGCUGAAAGCAUCUAAGCACGAAACUUGCCCCGAGAUGAGUUCUCCCUGAGACUUAGAGUCUCCUGAAGGAACGUUGAAGACGACGACGUUGAUAGGCCGGGUGUGUAAGCGCAGCGAUGCGUUGAGCUAACCGGUACUAAUGAACCGUGAGGCUUAACCUUACAACGCCGAAG
rnacentral:rRNA from 1 species